CAGGAUUAGAUACCCUGGUAGUCCACGCUGUAAACGAUGUCGAUUUGGAGUUUGUUGCCUAGAGUGAUGGGCUCCGAAGCUAACGCGAUAAAUCGACCGCCUGGGGAGUACGGCCGCAAGGUUAAAACUCAAAUGAAUUGACGGGGGCCCGCACAAGCGGUGGAGCAUGUGGUUUAAUUCGAUGCAACGCGAAGAACCUUACCUGGUCUUGACAUCCAUAGAAUUCUGCAGAGAUGUGGGAGUGCCUUCGGGAACUAUGAGACAGGUGCUGCAUGGCUGUCGUCAGCUCGUGUUGUGAAAUGUUGGGUUAAGUCCCGCAACGAGCGCAACCCUUAUUCUUUGUUGCCAGCGAUUUGGUCGGGAACUCAAAGGAGACUGCCGUUGAUAAAGCGGAGGAAGGUGGGGACGACGUCAAGUCAUCAUGGCCCUUACGACCAGGGCUACACACGUGCUACAAUGGCGUAUACAAAGGGAAGCGAGGGUGCGAGCUGGAGCGGAUCUCAUAAAGUACGUCUAAGUUCGGAUUGGAGUCUGCAACUCGACUCCAUGAAGUCGGAAUCGCUAGUAAUCGUAGAUCAGAAUGCUACGGUGAAUACGUUCCCGGGCCUUGUACACACCGCCCGUCACACCAUGGGAGUGGGUUGCACCAGAAGUAGAUAGCUUAACCGCGAGGGGGGCGUUUACCACGGUGUGAUUCAUGACUGGGGUGAAGUCGUAACAAGGUAACCA
rnacentral:rRNA from 1 species